rnacentral:rRNA from 1 species
UACGAAGGGUGCAAGCGUUAAUCAGAAUUACUGGGCGUAAAGGGUGCGUAGGCGGUUCGUUAAGUCUGUCGUGAAAUCCCCGGGCUCAACCUGGGAAUGGCGAUGGAUACUGGCGAGCUAGAGUGUGUCAGAGGAUGGUGGAAUUCCCGGUGUAGCGGUGAAAUGCGUAGAGAUCGGGAGGAACAUCAGUGGCGAAGGCGGCCAUCUGGGACAACACUGACGCUGAAGCACGAAAGCGUGGGGAGCAGACAGG